CCGGAGGGCUGUGUCCCACAGCACCGGGCUGGGGCUCCCCCGUCACCCGCACGGCCUCCACACGGCCCUGGCCUGCCCCGUGCACUGCGCCCCUUGCUGCUCUGACCCCCGCAGCCCUCCGGAGGGUCGGGGUUUGGCCUCCAGCACAGCUCCCAGGCCUCCUGUGGGGCAGGAGCCGUGCUCUGGAGGUGGAGCCUGCUGCAGCUCAUCCCCAGCCCCUGGAGCACAGAACUGGGCCUGGUUCCUCCCACAUCUCUCUAGGUUUGGGUUCUCCCAUUGUGUGAGGAGAGAAGAAACAAGGUCCUGAGGGGCACGGGGCUGGGGUCAGGCUUCGGGAGGACCUGCUGCCCUGCUUACAGCUCUGCCAUGGCUCUGUGCAGCCCCAACCACAGCACCGCACUACCGCAUCACACACCAGGAGCCUGAGCAGCAAUGGACACCUCCAGGGAACCCCUCUCUGCAUCAUCCCCAGGCUUCAGAGUGAGGAAGGAGGCACAGGGCAGGUGGAAGUCCUGGCCCUGCUGCUGUGGUGGAGCUUUGGGCUGGUGUGUAAAGAACAGGGACAUCUCUGCCCUGUAUGGAAACAGCCAGAAUAAACUUCUGUCUGUCCUUGGGCCUCUGUGUGUUCUGCACCAGCCCUGACCCCAGCCCUGGCUCAUGCUGUGCUUCUGCUCCCUGUGUUUUCAACCCCUUCUACCCUGGCAGCAAUGCCCUGAGGGACACUGACCUCGGGGCCUGGCAGUGGGGUGGCAGGAGGGGAAAGCACCGAGACCCCAGCCCGUGCUGUGGCUGUUCCUCCUUCCAGCUCCCCAGCCUCAUCAUCUGCUUCCCCUCAGCUCCUUACCUAGACAAGAAGGGCUGGGUGAUGGCCCAGGGGACAGGGGAUCCCAUUGGGCUGGGUUGUGUGUGCUGGUUAUCCUGGGCUGUGUGUGGUUAUCCUGGGCUCUCUGUGGUUAUCACUACCUCCUGCCUUGUUUUUCCCCUGGUGCCUGCACUUGGCCUCACUCUGCCCUGGCCCUGCCUUCCCCCCACAGGGACAAUAAAUCUGCCGUGCCUGGUGCGA
rnacentral:lncRNA from 1 species